rnacentral:lncRNA from 1 species
CCAGGCUAGGGGUCAGACAAACCAGAGCUGUAGCUGUAGCUGCCAGCCUAUGCCAUAGCCACAGCAACACAGGAUCUGAGCCGUGUCUGCAACCUACAUCACAGCUCACUGCAAUGCAGGAGCCUUAACCUACUGAGUGAAGCCAGGGAUUGAGCACACAUCCUCAUGGUUACUAGUCAGGUUCAUUAGUGCUGAUCCACGACAGGAACUCCCCCUCUGCUCCAUUUCACUCAAGGCAGCCAACACAAAAAAUGCUGUCCUGAUGUCGAAUGGAGACUUGGUAGGCUCUCAAUUAACUCUCCUAGAACAUGUUCGCAAAUAGUUUAGGAAAAAUAAACUGACUUUGUUGACCAAAUCAAGACCUUUGAUAUGUCUUCUAAAUAGCAAUUUGUAUUCAGGGUCUACCUAUUGGUACCAGUCUGUUGGUGAACACUAUAUAAGCUUGAUUUCCACCUGGCUGAAUGUCCUUCAUUUCUUGAGUCAUUCCUCAUGGGACAUGGGUUCUAGAUCCCUCAAGCCUGUGUCAAAAUUGUGAUAAAAGUGCUCUGUUCUUAAAAAUAUAUUCUAAUUAGUUGGAUGGUCUAUGGUUGAGUGCUUGCACCAAAAUUAAAACACCCUACAAGAAGUUCCCUCGUGGCCCAGGGAUAAGGAUCUGGGUUAAGGAUCUGGUGUUGUCAUUGCUAUGGCUUGAGUCACUGCUGUAGCAUGGGUUUGAUCCCUGGCCCUGGAACUUCCCAUGCUUUGGGUGUGGCAAAGCAUACAAAUAAACAAACAAAAAACCUAAAGCCAACUGAAAGCCCAGGAAAUUCAUUCACAUUGUAAAUCUAGGACAUGCUGUCAUUGGUCACGGUAUAAGAGACCAACAUCUGUUAAAGAAACCAUGACAAGGUUUGGGGGGUUGUAGAGCAUACAACUAUGGAGUUUGUAAAGCAAAGGAAAAAAUAGGCUUGUUAUAGUUGAAUAUAUGAUACACUAAAACUCUGGGAGAAAUGACAUCCUUUGCAGUUAAAAUAAGAGAUAAUUAGGGGGGAAAGAGUUUUCUUAAUUUGUACUUUACAAAGCUGUCACAGAUGCAAUACUGAUGAGACACUUGCCUUAAAUCUCCAAGGCAGAAAUAAAUACAAAUAUGAGUCCAUUUACACGUCUUUUCUUGACAUAAAGGGGAGAAAGCCUGUGAUUUCUAAAACAUCAAACAGUUUCUAACAAAUCUUUCUGACCAAAGGCAAAUUCCAAAAUGAUUAAUGAAGAAGGAUCUUUCCAUCCUUCUUCAUAGGAUUGUCACAUCUAUAGGAUCAUCUCUGACAAAAAAACCAAGCCUGUUUGAGAUCAUCAAACCCAUUUUAUAAUGAUUUUUUUUCAUUUUCUGAAGAAUGCUUCAUUCAAUACAUAAUUUUUUAGAUCGUGCAUAACAGUGACAGAAGAUUUUCCUUUAGGCAUUUCUUGAACUUUGCCAUUUCAAAAAAAUUAUAAGUUUUUCUGUAAUUUCCCAUUGCCCUUUGAAUGCCCCAUUUCUUAUCCCAAACUUAAGGUGCUAUUUAUAUUCAGUCCAUCCUAUUCCUUCCCUUUUCACUUCUCAAAGUGAUUAAAGGUCUUAGCCUGUUACAGGAUCAGUUCAAAGUCCAAAAUUCCAUCACCUAAGUCUUCUAAAUAAGGUGUCAAUGAGUAAUCCAUUAAAUAAAACUUUGGGGCAAAAUUCUUCUCCAUCUCUGGACUUUUGAAACCCACGGAACAAGUUAUCUGCCCCCAACAGUCCCAGUAGACAAUCGUGGUGCAGGCAUAAAAUAUAAACAUUACUGUUAUUUUUUUUUAAAAAGCUGGAAAAUGGAAGGUAAAGCAGAAUCACAGGUCUAAUAGAAAUUUUGAAUCCAGCUGGGGCUGGUCAUACUCCAGCCAGAGUUCUUUGAUUAGGUUUCAAGGCCUGGAAACCGUCUUCUGUGGCUCUCACUUCUGCCUUCUGGGUACUUGCUUAUACCCUCUGGGCCCUUGAUUCUGCCUUCUGAAUCAUCAUUCCUUUUUCACAAAGAGUAGCAAGUGUUUGCAGCCGAGUAUUUUGAUCAGUCUGCCAGUAGAAUUCUGGAGUUCAGGAACUUCUUUUAAUUCAUACUCACUGUUUCUUAUAGUCCAAGCCAGAAGUGUUUCUGCUGACAUAAUUUCCUCAAGAAUCCUGUGGGUCCAUUAUGAUUUUAGCAGGGACUCAUUCCAUUAGAUAAAAAUUGCAUACACAGAUUUUUAAGAUCAUGCCUCCUCUAGUCUAACCUCCUAUUGAAGAUGCUUAGAGAAAAUAUCCUCAAGCUACUCAGAGGCCUGGUCUGAUUGAGAGGAUCUAUAAGUACAUCCUUAAUCUCUUGUGAAUGAAUCCUCUGAUUUUUCGGUCUUGCUAAAAUUUCAACAACGAACGGCAAAGUCACACCCUCAGCAUUUUCUCCAGAGUAUGCUUUCCAGACAGUGAGUCUCUUAGUUAAAUAGUUCUUCCCUCAGUCUCUUUCCUCUCCCAUUUCACUAUAAGCAACAAGAAGAGACUAGGCUGAACUUGCUAGGAAAUCUCCUUAGAGAUCUAUCAAGAUUCAUCACUUAUGAGUUCCGCUUUCCAUGUAACUAUAGGGCAUGAUUUCUGCCACUGAAUAUGAAGAUCCAUCCCUCUUGCUCUAAUUUCCAAUAAUGAAGUCCUCCUCACUUCCUCCUGAGCCCUCAUCAACAGCAUUUUCAACAUCUUUCUUUAGUGCUCCUCAAAAUCCUCCUUCAACUCCUUCCAGCUUCUGCUCAUGGCUCAGUUCCAAAGCUAUUCCAUUUAGAGGUGUUUGUUACAAUAGCACCCCACUUCCAGGCCCCAAGUCUCUAUCAGUUUUCUAUUAUGAUGUAAUAAAUUACAAUUUACUAUCUUAAAGCAACACCCCCAUUUUUUUUUUUCUUUUUACAACCGGGUGGUUGUAAAAAGGCACACGGAAGUUCCAAGACUAAGGUUUGAAUCUGAGCUGCAGCUGCCCAGCCUACGCCGCAGCCACAGUAAUGCUGGAUUCAAGCCACAUCUGCAGCCUAUGCCGCAGCUUGCAACAACACCGGAUAUUUAACCCACUGAGUGAACCCAGGGAUCGAACCUGCAUCCUCAUGGAUACUAGUCAGGUUCUUUACCCGCUGAGCCACAGCAGGAACUCCACAAUACCCAUUUAUAAACUCACACAGUUGUGUAGGGCAGAAGUCUGGACAUGGCACAACAGGGUAGCACAAGGCUGAAAAACGGGUUUCUCCUGGGGCUGCAGUUCUCAUCUGUGGCUUGAGGUCUUCCUCCCAACUCCCUGAUGGUUGUGAGAAUUCAGUUAAUAAGAAUCAUAGGCCUGAGGUCUUUUCUUGCUGGCUCUCGGCAGGGCCACUCUCAGGCCUUGGGGUUGCUCCUCUCCAUCGGCAGUUGAAUGUCAUGGAAGUCUGUGUUCCUCCAGGUCAGCCAGAAUGCAUCUCUCUGAUGACUCCUUCUGUGACCAGCCAGAGGAAACUACUUACAAAUGGCUCAUAUGAUUAAAUCAGGCCCAUGUGGAUGAUUUCCCUUUCUUAAAGUCAACCAAGCCAUAUGACAUAACCAAAUCACAGGAAUAAAACCUAGCAUCUACAUGAUAGGAACAUAAUUUAAAAUCCUUGGGAUUAUACAGGGCACGUACAUCAGAAAUGUAAUUCUUCCUACCAUCAUAAUAUGUUAAAUAAUUUUGGAGUUCCUGUUGUAGCUCAGUGAUAAUGAUCCUGAUUAGUAUCCAUGAGGACAUGGGUUUGAUCCCUGCCCCCACUCAGUGGGUUAAGGAUCUGGCAUUGCCAUGGGGUGCAGUGUAAGUUGUAGACACAGCUUGGAUUUGGCAUUGCUGUGGCUGUGGUAUAGGCCGGCAGCCGUAGCUCCAAUUUGACCCCAGCCUUGGAACUUCCAUAUGCUGUGGGUAUGGCCCUAAAAAGAAAAAAACAAACAAACAAAAAACAAUUGAACAAUGUCAUCUAGCUUGAUGUCUGUCUCUAAAGGUCUACAUAAAUGAGGCUCAAUUAUUUUUUCCCAUCCAACUCUACUAUCCAAGAGACAGUAACAAAUUCCCCAAAUUACUCUAUUAUACACUUUACUAUUUUAAGUAAUGUUUGAGGAUUUCUAGUGAAGUCUGUACUGAAAUUACAAGACUCCAUUUACUAAAUAAAUACAGCAGAAACCUAAAUUUUAUAUAUAAUUACUUAUGAAGAAGAAAAAUCUUUUAAGUACAAGUAAUUCAAUUGGUAUUGAAAGAUCAAUCAUUUUCCUUUCUUACAAAAAUUGAAUUUACACAAAUAUUUAUGGGAAGGAAACAAUUAUGUAUAUUCUCACAUUAUACACAUUUGCAAAUUAAUAAAUAUAAUAUAAAUGUUGAGUACCAAAUGGGAGAAAUAACUUUUUAUAUAUAAAUGCACCUGAGAAAUAGUUAGGAGGCUGUGUAGCAGUUCUCCACAUCUUUUAUUUCUUUUGGGGGCCACACCUAUGGCACAUGGAAAUUUCCAGGCUAGGGGUUGAAUUGGAGUUGCAGCUGCUGGCCUAAACCAUAGCCAUAGCAACAUGGGAUCUGAGCUACACCACAGCUCUUGGCAACUGAACGAGGCCAGGGAUCGAACCUGCAUCUGCAUGGCUACUAGUCAACUUCACUUCCACUGAGUCACAAUGGGAACUCCAGUAGUUCUCAAUCUUGAUGCCUAAAAUGUACACUUGGAAACUGAAAAAACAAUUCAGUUGCAGGUCAUGGCCUAAUUAUUCUUAUAAAUGGCCUUAGUUGGGGUUCUCAGGGUGUUCACAAUUCAAAGUGAAAAAAAAUAUACAUUUUGAAAAUUAACUGUUUUCACCAAGGAUUUAAUAUUAACUUUAAAAUGAUGGUAGAGAAAGGUUAUAGAUAAAGAAAAAUACAAAGUCACAAGUGUAUAGCCGACUGAAUGAUCACACAGGAACACACCCACGGAAUGCCCACUCAGGUGAAGAACAAACAACAAAGAACCAGUACUCUGAGUGUCCUGUUUUGAGACCCUCCAUUCUUGGUGGGGUCUGAUCAGCUAGUGAGUCUGCCAAGAGUUCUGUUCACUUUCUUACCUCCCGGCUACUGAUUUCAAAUCAGCAAAUGCUUCAAGGGGAAAGUUGUCUUUUAAGUGUCAGUUGCGCUUCCACUGUUUUCUUCAUCUUUGGGAUCUUAGUCUGAUGAAAUUUACUUCCUUGGUAGCUUACAAACAAGGCUUACCUACAGAUCUUAUUUUAUUAUUUUGUUUAAAAUUCUCUAGAAGGUCUAAGCAGAAUUGGUUCAAAAUCAACUAAUCUACAUUGUCUAAAAAAAAACCAAAAAAAAAAACCCCUAAACCCCCCAAAAAUAUAAUUUAGAAGUUCCCAUUGUGGCUCGGAGGAAACAAAUCUGACUAGUAUCCAUGAGGACGCAGGUUCAUUCCCUGGCCUCGCUCAGUGGGUUAAGGAUCUGGUGUUGCCAUGAGCUGUGGUAUAUGUCACAGACGUGUCUUAGAUCUGGCAUUGCUGUGGCUGUGUGUAGGCCAGCAGUUACAGUUCCGAUUUGACCCCUAACCUGGGAACCUCUAUAUUCCGCAGGUGUGGCCCUAAAAAAAAAAAAGUAAUUUAAAGCCUCCAUUGGCUAUCUAAGUUCUUAAAAGAGAUAGGAACUCAGUAAAUUUAUGUAUCUGAUUUUUCUCGAUGUGGAUGAACUCAAUUUAAUUCAUUGUAAGUACUUGGCUCUCUUUAAAGAAUCAGCUGGUGACAGUUUACUUUGGCCAAAGAAAGGAGUCCUUUAAGCACUUUUCAAAUGGUCAUCCAGAGGUGGAUGCUAACUCUGUUUCUGUAAAGGUUCUCCUGGUAGGGACUGUCUGUGUUGGUGAUGGUGGUGUCUACAGACAAGUGACAACACCUGUUUUCAUUGUACAAUGACAACUAUGGCUCAGAACGUGGUUUUGGAAAAGCCAAAGUAUUUUGAAAUCCUUUUGCAUUUUGAUUUUCUCCCAUUUAGUCCUUUUUUUGCUAACUCUUGGCAUUAAGAGAAACACAGCUAUAUGGUUAAGGAGAAUCCACAGAUCAAGGGUGCUACUUAGACUAUUCAAGCCAAAACAAAGAUUACUUGGUUUAUACCCCCCAUCUCUGUUUUCUCUCUUGUUCUUUCUAUUCACAUUUAAACCUUAAUUAUAUUUAUGGACAUGAUAUUAUGAUGGUUAGGGCAUUAGAAUCUGUCUUUACUUAAUUGGCACGUUAAUGUUUUCAUUCCUUGCUUCAUUCUUGAUACUAAUGAUGCUGAAAAUAGUGAGGAAAGGAACAUCAUUCUGAAUCCAUAUACUUCUCUCAGGGUUGUCAAACCUCAGAGAAAAGCAUUUGGUACAUUUCC